UUUCCCUCAGAAUAGGCUUGUUGCUUUACAGUACUGGUGAUCCAUUCUCUUUGAUGAUCCCCUAGGUGGAGAUGGGGCAUGAGGAUCCUCCAAGGGAAAGACUCAUCAUCACUGGGCAACAGCCUUA
rfam:Erinaceus europaeus cont1.820943, whole genome shotgun sequence.